rnacentral:misc_RNA from 1 species
GAUGAAGAACGCAGCGAAAUGCGAUACUUGGUGUGAAUUGCAGAAUCCCGUGAACCAUCGAGUCUUUGAACGCAAGUUGCGCCUCAAGCCAUUAGGUUGAGGGCACGUCUGCCUGGGCGUCACAUAUCGUUGCCUGAUGCCAGUUUCCUCGUGAUGGGUGACUGUGCAGGGCGAAUGAUGGCUUCCCGUGAGCAUUGUUGCCUCAUGGUUGGUUGAAAAUUGAGUCCUUGGUAGGGAGCGCCGUGAUAGAUGGUGGUUGAGUGACGAACGAGACCCAAUCAUGUGAGACCCCUACCGAAUUUGGCCUUCAUGACCCACAUGCGUCUUUGGAACGCUCAUGACGAGACCUCAGGUCAGGCGGGGCCACCCGCUGAGUUUAAGCAUAUCAAUAAGCGGAGGA